rnacentral:lncRNA from 1 species
CUGCUAUUUGCUCAAAGUUGUAGGUCUAUGUAUUUCCUUCUCCAAUACGUCCCCAUUUAUAAGUUUAUUUCCAUGCAUACAAACGUGCACAUGUGUGCACGUGCACACCCACACACACACACUCACUCUCAAGUAAGACACUUUUUUGUGUUUGUUGAUAAAUUAUGAGGAUUAUGAACCAGGUGUGUACAGGGUUUCAUAGGUGCUUUGUAAACAUCAGAGUCACUUGGGUCCUUUCCUCCACAAGCCUCAAAUCAAAUUACGCAACCAAUGACCACUACUUUCCCAGACGCUGUUCACAGGCUGCAUAUUGACGAAGGGCAGAGAAAAAGUCCUCAUAACUGAUGUUUAGGUGGGAAGGCAAAGAGACAAUCUCAGUCAAUCUGAUGUGCCAGGGAAGAAAGCCUAAUGUGCUGUCCACAGGACCGAACUUCAAUACUAAAUCAGGAUCAGGACAACCAUUUGAACUAAGUAAACUGCCUAACGUAUCUACAUCCAAAUCUGUGGGUCUCUUUUGCUUCUGGGCCACUAACUGGCAAAAGUCCUGAGCAGCUCUUACAAUAUCUGCUUUUCCAUCUUCCGGAGACAGCACCUUCACUGCCAAAUGGCAAUUUAAAACUUGAUCGUCUUUGUCAUUACUAUUUGCAAAUUCUGGUGAGUAUUUUGAACAAUCUAGGCCCAGAAGUUCUUGCUGUUGUUUUAAAAUUUCAUCCAUCAAUCUGGAAUUAUUUCUUUUGAAAAUACCUUGGUGGUCGUAGACGCUAAUGUAGGAGAUGCCCACGGCCAUACACCACACCACGAGGCUCGCGAUGUCCG